GAGCUUGCUCCCUGAUAUUAGCGGCGGACGGGUGAGUAACACGUGGGCAACCUGCCCUGCAGAUGGGGAUAACUCCGGGAAACCGGGGCUAAUACCGAAUAAUCGGUUCUUCCGCAUGGAAGAACUCUGAAAGACGGUUUCGGCUGUCACUGCAGGAUGGGCCCGCGGCGCAUUAGCUAGUUGGUGGGAUAACGGCCUACCAAGGCGACGAUGCGUAGCCGACCUGAGAGGGUGAUCGGCCACACUGGGACUGAGACACGGCCCAGACUCCUACGGGAGGCAGCAGUAGGGAAUCUUCCACAAUGGACGAAAGUCUGAUGGAGCAACGCCGCGUGAGCGAAGAAGGUUUUCGGAUCGUAAAGCUCUGUUGCGAGGGAAGAACAAGUACGGGAGUAACUGCCCGUACCUUGACGGUACCUCGUCAGAAAGCCACGGCUAACUACGUGCCAGCAGCCGCGGUAAUACGUAGGUGGCAAGCGUUGUCCGGAAUUAUUGGGCGUAAAGCGCGCGCAGGCGGUCCUUUAAGUCUGAUGUGAAAGCCCACGGCUCAACCGUGGAGGGUCAUUGGAAACUGGAGGACUUGAGUACAGAAGAGGAAAGCGGAAUUCCACGUGUAGCGGUGAAAUGCGUAGAGAUGUGGAGGAACACCAGUGGCGA
rnacentral:rRNA from 1 species